rnacentral:rRNA from 1 species
GACGAACGCUGGCGGCGCGCUUAACACAUGCAAGUCGAACGGAAAGGCCUGCUUUCCCUUGUGGAUUGCGGGUACUCGAGUGGCGAACGGGUGAGUAACACGUGAGUGAUCUGCCCCCAACUUGGGUAUAAGCCUGGGAAACUGGGUCUAAUUCCCGAUAGGACUGCAGGGUGGUGCCUGUGGUGGAAAACGAUUUUCUAGUGGUUGGGGAUGAGCUCGCGGCCUAUCAGCUUGUUGGUGGGGUAAUGGCCUACCAAGGCGGCGACGGGUAGCCGGCCUGAGAGGGUGGACGGCCAGAUUGGGACUGAGAUACGGCCCAGACGCCUACGGGAGGCGGCAGUGGGGAAUAUUGCACAAUGGGCGGAAGCCUGAUGCAGCGACGCCGCGUGGGGGAUGACGGCCUUCGGGUUGUAAACUCCUUUCGACCGCGAGGAAGCCACCUGGUUGGAAGGGUGGUGACGGUAGUGGUAGAAGAAGCACCGGCUAACUACGUG